AUCUGGCUGAUACUGCCAGGAGUCAUAUCCUUGUCUCAAAUUUUAAUCCAUGCAUGUGUAAGUUCAGAUCACGCAUUAGAACGGACGCAACCCGAAUGGUUCAGGAGCAGGAGCUAAUCAUCGGAGGUGAUUAAUAACUGUGGCAAUUAUAGAGCUAACACAUUUGAAACAGGCUGCGAUUGGUCGGUGCUCUGUUGUCAGCGGCGUGCUAUCACGCGUGUGGGCACACGCGUCGACCGUUUCGUGUCGCGGUGCUACAUAGAUGACUGAGACCGAUGAGGGGCUUUCUGUCCUCUCACUGUCGCCGCCGUCGUUUCCUUACUUUGGUGUGCAGAGGCAGGGCCAACAGGCAGCACGCUCCAUUUUGCUGACUGGAUAACUCACUGGUCGAUGGCAAUGUUUUUAUACGUCUGGUGACGAGUCUCUCGAAGGUCUGAACUAUCAACUUUUGACGGCAAGUGCUAAUCGCGGUUACUACGGGUAAGGGGAAUCGGGGUUAAUUUCCGCAGAGGGAGCAUGAGAAACGGCGACUCCAUCCUAAGAGGGCAGCAGGCACGCAAUUUAGCCACUCCCGGCACGGGGAGAGAGACAAAAAUAACGAACCAUAGUC